GUGCUCACUUCGGCACCACAUAUACUAAAAUUGGAACGAUACAGAGAAAGUAACAUGGCCCCUAAGCAAAGAUGACACACAAAUUCAUGAAAUAUUACAUAUUUAA